AGUGAACGCUGGCGGUAGGCCUAACACAUGCAAGUCGAACGGCAGCACAGUAAGAGCUUGCUCUUACGGGUGGCGAGUGGCGGACGGGUGAGGAAUACAUCGGAAUUUACUUUUUCGUGGGGGAUAACGUAGGGAAACUUACGCUAAUACCGCAUACGACCUACGGGUGAAAGCAUUGGAUCUUCGGACCUUUCGCGAUUGAAUGAGCCGAUGUGGGAUUAGCUAGUAGGCGGUGUAAAGGCCCACCAAGGCAACGAUCCGUAGAUGGUCUGAGAGGAUGAUCAGCCACACUACAACUGAGACACGGUCCAGCCUCCUACGGGAGGCAGCAGAGUGGAAUACUGGACAGUGUGAGAAAGCCUGACCCAACCAUGCAGCGUGGAGGAAGGAGGCAUUCGGGAGGUAAAGGCAUUUUGUUAGGAAAGAACAGAAGCAAGUUAAUCUCCCGCUGUUCUGACGGUACCCAAAGAAUAAGCACCGACUAACUACGU
rnacentral:rRNA from 1 species